rnacentral:rRNA from 1 species
GAUGAACGCUGGCGGCGUGCCUAAUACAUGCAAGUCGAGCGAACAGACGAGGAGCUUGCUCCUCUGACGUUAGCGGCGGACGGGUGAGUAACACGUGGAUAACCUACCUAUAAGACUGGGAUAACUUCGGGAAACCGGAGCUAAUACCGGAUAAUAUAUUGAACCGCAUGGUUCAAUAGUGAAAGACGGUUUUGCUGUCACUUAUAGAUGGAUCCGCGCCGCAUUAGCUAGUUGGUAAGGUAACGGCUUACCAAGGCAACGAUGCGUAGCCGACCUGAGAGGGUGAUCGGCCACACUGGAACUGAGACACGGUCCAGACUCCUACGGGAGGCAGCAGUAGGGAAUCUUCCGCGAUGGGCGAAAGCCUGACGGAGCAACGCCGCGUGAAUGAUGAAGGUCUUCGGAUCGUAAAACUCUGUUAUUAGGGAAGAACAAAUGUGUAAGUAACUAUGCACGUCUUGACGGUACCUAAUCAGAAAGCCACGGCUAACUACGUG